AAGAAAAGGGAAAUAAAGAAAAGCCAUCUCAAAUGGAAAGGAAGAAGUUAAAUUAUCUCCAUUUGCAGAUAACAUAGUCCUAUAUACAGAAAAACCCCCCAAAUCCACAAUACAGUUAACUAAACCUCACAAGGGAACUCAGCAAAGUUGCAGGGUAUAAGAUCAAUAUGCAAUAGCCAGUUGUAUUUCUGUACACAUGCAAUGAACAGUCUGCAAAGGAAAUUAAGAAAGCAAUUCAAUAUGUAAUAGCAUUUAAAAGA